rnacentral:rRNA from 1 species
UACGUAGGGGGCAAGCGUUGUCCGGAUUUAUUGGGCGUAAAGAGCGUGUAGGCGGUCAGGUAGGUCCGUUGUGAAAACUCGAGGCUCAACCUCGAGACGCCGAUGGAAACCAUCUGACUAGAGUCCGGAAGAGGAGAGUGGAAUUCCUGGUGUAGCGGUGAAAUGCGCAGAUAUCAGGAAGAACACCUAUGGCGAAGGCAGCUCUCUGGGACGGUACUGACGCUGAGGAGCGAAAGCGUGGGGAGCGAACAGG